UGAGAUUGUUGAAUUUAUGUUAUUUAAAUCGAAUCUCUCGCUUCCGAUUUACUCACCACCACUCGCUAAAAGACUUCUUUCCUAAGGUGGAAUAUAUAUUCUACAGUGUAUUUUUAUCCUUACAAUUUUGACUAGUUGCUUAGCCCUAUUUAUCUUCGUCGUAAGAGCACUUGAUCGAUGAUCUUCUAUCAAUCAGUAAAUCCAAUAUAAAUGUCCACGAAUCACUCGUAGUAACUGAAUAUAGUUAAAAAAAACUACAUAUUUUCC
rnacentral:lncRNA from 1 species